UUCGCAACUUUGAACACUGUGCUGUAAGUUCAAUGCAACGCACGUGUUGCGUGGAGCAAUUGUCUGUUGACGCUACAUUUCAGUUGCGUAGUUGCUUUACUGCUGAUGUGUUCGUUUCACUCAAACGCAUCGCAUCCGUCAUUGUAUUGUGCAUUUUCCUGUGUUUCCGUAGUGGUGCAGAAGUAGUUGUCUAGCUUUAUAUGUCGCGAAGAAGCAAUGAAGCAGUGUCACGUGCCUGAGAAUUUGUCUCCCACGAAAUUUUAGCGGAGGUAUCAGUGUGAGUGCAUUCUGCUGCCGAAUGGAGUUGUGCUGUUAUGUAGGUCAGGACGUGCCGGAACAGAGCCGCAAGAAUGACCAACGCAGUACAGGCUGUGAAUGGACAGCCGGGGAAACAAAGCUGCUAUUUGAUUAUUAUGAACAGUACCUUGCCGAGAUUGGACGGUUGAAAAAAAUUCAAAAAUAAGCAGCUAAUGUUCAGCCAAAUUGCAGCCCAGUGAGUCCAUUUAUAAUGACAUAUCGUUCAUUUAUUGAUACUGUUAGCCCAAAGGCCAAUACAGGAUGGAGAAAUCAUAAAAUAAGCUUCAGAAGAUAGCUGCAAAAACGGGCACUACACAAAUCAAACCAGAAAAUACAAUAGCUUAAUGCAGCUGUAACACCUCUACAACUACCUCAUGCACUUUUUGUUUGCAGGUACAGGCUGUGAAUGGACAGCCGGGGAAACCAAGCUCCUAUUUGAUUAUUAUGAGCAAUACUUUGCUGAGAUUGGGCCGUUGAAAAAAUUCAAAAAUAAGAAGCUUAUGUUCAGCCGAAUUGCAGCGAACAUUACAGAGGCGCUCGGAGUUCCGAAAACUGGUGAGCAGUGCUGCAGCCGCUACAAAAUCGUCAUGCGCAGAAAAAGAAGCGCAACAGCGCACAACAACAAAUCUGGGAAUUCCCCAUGUGAAGUGCCCUUUGAGGAUGAAGUAGCCAGAAUACGCUGGCUAGAUGACAGCCUCGAGCCCGAAGAGCUGAGGGACAGCUCUGGCGUUGUUGCUGUGAAGAGGCCAGCCAGCCAGGCAUCGGCCAGCCAGUCAUCCGCCAACCCAGCGUCGGCCAGCCAGGUAUCCGCCAGCCCAGCGUCGACCAGCCAGGCAUCCGACAGCCUAGCGUCGACCAGCCAAGCAUCGGAAAGCCAGGAGUCUGAAAGCCUGGCGCCGAGCCAAGCAUCAACAAAGGAGCCUAUGCCCAAAAGGCCUAAGCCCUCUGGUUCGAGAAUGCUGGAGAUGAAGAUAUUCUUCGAUGAAAUGAGCAAAAUUCAAGAAGAAAAAGAAAAAAGACGAGCUACACGGGAACAAGAAAGAGAGAGGCGCCACAAAGAAAGGCAAGAAUACAAGGAACGUAUUCGGCAAGAAAAAGCAAAACAACAUUCAGAAAAAAUUAGGCUUCUAAGCCGUGCUCUUGGCCUUGAAGAAUAAAAAAAUUCCAGUGUCCGAGAAUAUCGGCUUGUUUAAAUAAAAGUGUACAGUGCCAAACAUGUGUUUGUGUAUUUAAAGAGGGCCGCACGUUAGUACACACACCGCAGCCCCCAACUACUGCAUGGACUUUAUUUCGACCAGGCUACUCAAUAGACCGUAUUCACGCUAUCAGUCAGGUGAUAGAAAAAUGUGCGGAAUAUAACCAACCCUUAUAUGUAGCUUUCAUUAAUUACGAGGUAGCGUUUGAUUCUGUCGAAACCUCAGCAGUCAUGGAGGCAUUAUGGAAUCAGGGUGUAAUCGAGCUGUAUGUAAAAGUACUGAAAGAUAUCUAUGGCAGCUCCACAGCCACUGUAGUCCUCCAUAAAGAAAGCAACAAAAUCCCAAUAAAGGCAAUACGAUAUUUCCAAUGCUAUUGACAGCGUGCUCACAGGAGGUAUUCAGAGACCUGGAUUGGGAAGAAUUGGGGAUAAGAGUUAAUGGAGAAUACCUUAGCAACUUGCGAUUCACUGAUGAUAUUGCCUUGUUUAGUAACUUGGGGGACCAAUUGUAAUGCAUGCUCACUGACUUGAAGGGCCAAAGCGGAAGAGUGGGUCUAAAGAUUAAUCUGCAGAAAACUAAAGUAAUGUGUAACAGUCUUGGAAGAGAACAGCAAUUUACAAUAGGUAGCGAGGCAUUGGAAGUGGUAAGGGAAUACAUCUACUUAGGGCAAGUAGUGAUUGCAGAUCCGGAUCAUGACACUGAAAUAAUCAGAAGAAUAAGAAUGGCUGGGGUGCGUUUGGCAGGCAUUCUCAGAUCAUGAACAGCAGGUUGCCAUUAUCCCCCAAGAGAAAAGUGUAUAACAGCUGUGUCUUACCAGUACUCGUGUACGGGGCAGAAACCUGGAGGCUUACGAAAAGGGUUCUAUUUAAAAUGAGGACGACGCAACGAGCUAUGGAAAGAAGAAUGAUGGGAAUAACGUUAACGGAUAAGAAAAGAGCA